rnacentral:rRNA from 1 species
CCUACGGGUGGCAGCAGUGAGGAAUAUUGGUCAAUGGACGAGAGUCUGAACCAGCCACGUAGCGUGAAGGAUGAAUGCCCUAUGGGUGUUAAACUUCUUUUAUAUGGGAGUAAAAUGUUCCACGUGUGGGAUUUUGUAUGUACCAUAUGAAUAAGGAUCGGCUAACUCCGUGCCAGCAGCCGCGGUAAUACGGAGGAUCCGAGCGUUAUCCGGAUUUAUUGGGUGUAAAGGGAGCGUAGGUGGAUUGUUAAGUCAGUCGUGAAAGUUUGCGGCUCAACCGUAAGAUUGCAGUUGAAACUGGCAGUCUUGAGUACAGUAGAGGUGGGCGGAAUUCGUGGUGUAGCGGUGAAAUGCUUAGAUAUCACGAAGAACUCCGAUUGCGAAGGCAGCUUACUGGACUGCAACUGACACUGAGGCUCGAAAGUGUGGGUAUCAAACAGGAUUAGAUACCCCGGUAGUC